UUGCUGUCGGGCGGGCAGCGCCAGCGUGCGUGCCUCGCGCGCGCGCUGCUGGCGCGUGCGCCGGUGCUGAUGUUCGACGAGCCGACCGCGAG
rnacentral:tRNA from 1 species